CGGGCCAGAGCCGGGUUGGUGAGGCGCCUCAUUUGGGUUGAGGAAGAUUUAUGUUCGAAUCAUAAUGGCCCGA
rfam:Lasallia pustulata genome assembly, contig: scaffold680_size22439